UACAGAGGGUGCGAGCGUUAAUCGGAAUUACUGGGCGUAAAGGGCGCGUAGGUGGUUAAUUAAGUCAGAUGUGAAAUCCCCAGGCUUAACCUGGGAAUUGCAUUUGAAACUGGUUAGCUAGAGUAUGGUAGAGGGAAGUGGAAUUUCCGGUGUAGCGGUGAAAUGCGUAGAUAUCGGAAGGAACACCAGUGGCGAAGGCGACUUCCUGGACCAUUACUGACACUGAGGCGCGAAAGCGUGGGGAGCGAACAGG
rnacentral:rRNA from 1 species